UACGUAGGGUGCAAGCGUUGUCCGGAAUUAUUGGGCGUAAAGAGCUCGUAGGCGGUUUGUCGCGUCUGCUGUGAAAACUCGGGGCUUAACCCCGGGCCUGCAGUGGGUACGGGCAGACUAGAGUGCGGUAGGGGAGACUGGAAUUCCUGGUGUAGCGGUGAAAUGCGCAGAUAUCAGGAGGAACACCGGUGGCGAAGGCGGGUCUCUGGGCCGUAACUGACACUCAGGGACGAAAGCUAGGGGAGCGAAUGGG
rnacentral:rRNA from 1 species